GAAGAUGGGAGGAAGGAUGGGAGGGAGGGAAGAUGGGCUGAAGAGAGGGAGGAAGGUAGCCUCCCUAGCCUUUCCAGCUCCGGGGACUGUUACAGGCACAGGCAACCUGCGGGGGGGCUGGGUCUGGUGUUAGGGAAGAGGAGCUGGAAAACACCGUCUACGCCCACCUCUCCCGUGACGAGCCUAGCAGAUUGGCAUCAUGGAACCCUGCAGAUGUAUGUAUUGCUCCUAAAAUGCAUGUCAAAUACGGGGGAGCCACUUUAAACACCCCAGCUCCAGCCCUUACAGAACAGCAAAUACACCCAGCACUCCCCACUCCUUGCAACAGAGGUGAAACUUCGGAGAUUUCUUUGGGGAAAUAAAAGAGCCUAUGGAAGAGAAAGACUUCA